rnacentral:rRNA from 1 species
UACGUAGGGUGCGAGCGUUAAUCGGAAUUACUGGGCGUAAAGCGUGCGCAGGCGGUAAGUUAAGUCUGAUGUGAAAGCCCCGGGCUCAACCUGGGAAUGGCAUUGGAAACUGGCUUGCUGGAGUGUGGCAGAGGGGGGUGGAAUUCCGCGUGUAGCAGUGAAAUGCGUAGAUAUGUGGAGGAAUACCGAUGGCGAAGGCAGCCUCCUGGGCCAACACUGACGCUCAUGCACGAAAGCGUGGGGAGCAAACAGG